rnacentral:rRNA from 1 species
UGGGGAAUAUUGCACAAUGGGCGCAAGCCUGAUGCAGCCAUGCCGCGUGUAUGAAGAAGGCCUUCGGGUUGUAAAGUACUUUCAGCGGGGAGGAAGGGAGUAAAGUUAAUACCUUUGCUCAUUGACGUUACCCGCAGAGGAAGCACCGGCUAACUCCGUGCCAGCAGCCGCGGUAAUACGGAGGGUGCAAGCGUUAAUCGGAAUUACUGGGCGUAAAGCGCACGCAGGCGGUUUGUUAAGUCAGAUGUGAAAUCCCCGGGCUCAACCUGGGAACUGCAUCUGAUACUGGCAAGCUUGAGUCUCGUAGAGGGGGGUAGAAUUCCAGGUGUAGCGGUGAAAUGCGUAGAGAUCUGGAGGAAUACCGGUGGCGAAGGCGGCCCCCUGGACGAAGACUGACGCUCAGGUGCGAAAGCGUGGGGAGCAAACAGG